UUGCUUCUCUUCCANAGCGGCGGACGGGUGAGUAAUGCCUAGGAAUCUGCCUAGUGGUGGGGGAUAACGUUCGGAAACGGACGCUAAUACCGCAUACGUCCUACGGGAGAAAGCGGGGGACCUUCGGGCCUCGCGCCAUUAGAUGAGCCUAGGUCGGAUUAGCUAGUUGGUGAGGUAAUGGCUCACCAAGGCUACGAUCCGUAACUGGUCUGAGAGGAUGAUCAGUCACACUGGAACUGAGACACGGUCCAGACUCCUACGGGAGGCAGCAGUGGGGAAUAUUGGACAAUGGGCGAAAGCCUGAUCCAGCCAUGCCGCGUGUGUGAAGGAAGGUCUUCGGAUUGUAAAGCACUUUAAGUUGGGAGGAAG
rnacentral:rRNA from 1 species